GGAAACGCUGCUUCAAGAGAAGCAAGAUGGUUUCUGCUCUCUCUUCAAAAAGUUCCCUUUUUUCCAAACUCACAGCUGAACCCCAGGCUGAUUUCCCAUCCUUCUGGUUCAUUUUCCUCUUCCAAAUCACUAUAGACGCCUCUAUUCUGUUCUUGAGGUCUAAGAUUUUAUGCUCUGAUGACAGGUCCAUGGUUACCAGAAACUGAUCAGGAUCAAAAUAUUCUACUGUAAUGCUUCUGUAGUUUGAAUCCCCCAGACUAGCUCUCCCAUUCUGGAGAUGAUCACCAUCAUUUUAAUACACGAAACUGGAAUUUAAGCAAAAAUUGAGAGAGCCAACUGAAACUGAUACUAGUGGCCGCUUUCCUCUUACCUUUGGGAGGGAUUCAAUAAAUUUUCUCGAGUUUUCAGAUAGACCUUCUGGGGGAACCUUAGGUACGUUCAUGAGGAGAUCAACUCUUUGUCUUGUCGUCAUAAUCUAUUCAAUCAAAGAUCAAGCUUUAAUCGAGAUCAGUGUCAGGAAUCAUCUUACACAAUUUCUCAGAGAGACUAAGAGACGGGGGAAAAUUUACCUCCAUGUGGGAGCCAUCCUCAUUUAUUUGAUGUGAUGGAACCAUUUCCACGAUGUAAUCAGUAACUGAAAGAAGCCAAUCAAUUUCUUUUCUCCAUCUUGCUUUUCUCUCCGGUGGCAUUGGCUCUAGUCGUUUUUGUUCACCAAACACAGCAGCUGCAUCCUCAAGUGCCAAAAAAGACUUAAGUGCAAGGGAGAUGAAGGAAAAAGCGAACUUACCAGCAAGAUUUGUGAAUGCAUUAGACAGAGCCAAAGCAGAGGAAACACCCGUUCCUUUACCAGACAUAUCCUCGCCCAGUAGCAGUUUUGCAAAUCUCUCCUUCAUCUGUUCCAUUUCUGAAUGUCAACCACACCAAACAAAAAUGGAUUUCAAUUUCAUCCUCUGAUUCAAACCAAAUGGGCUGCAUUACAAAUGAUGAUAUUAUUAUAUAUUUAUUCACCUUGGUGUAGUUUCUCUUUAGCUUCUUUAACUGCUGCUGCUUCUUCAAUGGUUGAGCUUGACUUAUCAGGACCUCCAUUUUGAUCAGAAGCAGACUCGUCAUUCAGAGCGUUUGAUCCUUGACUUCUUGAAGACAAUGG